AAAUUGAAGCCCCCAGAGUCCGUUGCACAGUUCUUCCAAAGCCACCAAGGAUCGACGAAAUCUUAUCUUAAGGCCGUGUCCCAAGAUGACGUUGAUGCUGAAACUGAUAUGCUUGUUUGUCAUGCUAAGUAUUGUCUCAGAUGUCACGCAGCUCGGAAGCUUAGGGUUAACCUCCCUUCAGGGCGGUAGAAUCGGUGGAGAUGUCGUUAGUAUCGGUAGUGUUCAUUCCCGUUCGCUCUUCUUUCCUGGCGCUGAUGCCCGUCCCUCUAUGGUAAAAUUAGCUAAAAAAGUUUACGAAACGGCGAAAGCAGCACUCUUGGCUGGAGCAGCUGAGGAGAUUGCAAAAUCAGAUGACAGCAAUGAAACUAAAGACAAUGAAAGCAACCUUGAUCAAAACCAAACUGGACGUUAGAUCAACCAAAUGUGUCUGGAGAAGCCUGGACUAUAGCAAUAAGUUUAUUGUCUUAAUAACAUGU